rnacentral:rRNA from 1 species
CGAGUGGCGGACGGGUGAGUAAUGUCUGGGAAACUGCCCGAUGGAGGGGGAUAACUACUGGAAACGGUAGCUAAUACCGCAUAACGUCGCAAGACCAAAGAGGGGGACCUUCGGGCCUCUUGCCAUCGGAUGUGCCCAGAUGGGAUUAGCUAGUAGGUGGGGUAAAGGCUCACCUAGGCGACGAUCCCUAGCUGGUCUGAGGGGAUGACCAGCCACACUGGAACUGAGACACGGUCCAG